rnacentral:rRNA from 1 species
CCUACGGGAGGCAGCAGUGGGGAAUAUUGCACAAUGGGGGAAACCCUGAUGCAGCGACGCCGCGUGAAGGAUGAAGUAUUUCGGUAUGUAAACUUCUAUCAGCAGGGAAGAAAAUGACGGUACCUGACUAAGAAGCCCCGGCUAACUACGUGCCAGCAGCCGCGGUAAUACGCAGGGGGCAAGCGUUAUCCGGAUUGACCGGGCGUAAAGGGAGCGUAGACGGUAUGGCAAGUCUGAUGUGAAAACCCCGGGCAAAACCCCGGGACCGCACUGGAAACUGCCGAACUAGAGUGUCGGAGAGGCAGGUGGAAUGCCUAGUGUAGGGGUGAAAUGGGUAGAUAUUAGGAGGAACACCAGUGGCG